CCUGAUGGUAUGAUGAGAUUGCAUGAUAGCAUCAUUAAAGAUUUAUCGGUGUACGAUGGGGAUGCGUUCCAUUAGGUAGUAGGCGGGGUAACGGCCCACCUAGCCAACGAUGGAUAGGGGUUCUGAGAGGAAGGUCCCCCACAUUGGAACUGAGACACGGUCCAAACUCCUACGGGAGGCAGCAGUGAGGAAUAUUGGUCAAUGGACGAGAGUCUGAACCAGCCAAGUAGCGUGAAGGAUGAAGGUCCUACGGAUUGUAAACUUCUUUUAUAAGGGAAUAAACCCUCCCACGUGUGGGAGCUUGUAUGUACCUUAUGAAUAAGCAUCGGCUAACUCCGUGCCAGCAGCCGCGGUAAUACGGAGGAUGCGAGCGUUAUCCGGAUUUAUUGGGUUUAAAGGGAGCGCAGACGGGUCGUUAAGUCAGCUGUGAAAGUUUGGGGCUCAACCUUAAAAUUGCAGUUGAUACUGGCGUCCUUGAGUGCGGUUGAGGUGUGCGGAAUUCGUGGUGUAGCGGUGAAAUGCUUAGAUAUCACGAAGAACUCCGAUUGCGAAGGCAGCACACUAAUCCGUGACUGACGUUCAUGCUCGAAAGUGUGGGUAUCAAACAGGAUUAGAUACCCUGGU
rnacentral:rRNA from 1 species